rnacentral:rRNA from 1 species
UACAGAGGUCCCAAGCGUUGUCCGGAUUCAUUGGGCGUAAAGAGCUCGUAGGCGGUUCAGUAAGUCGGGUGUGAAAUCUCCGUGCUCACACCGGAGCGGCCACCUGAUACUGCUGUGACUCGAGUCCGGUAGGGGAGUGUGGAAUUCCCGGUGUAGCGGUGAAAUGCGCAGAUAUCGGGAGGAACACCAGUAGCGAAGGCGGCACUCUGGGCCGUGACUGACCGCUGAGG